GUAGUAUUCUCUCAGUCCCAAAAUUUUUAUUUUAGAUUUGUCUACAUAUGAAUGUAUUUAUUCACAUUUUAGUGUUAGAUACAUCCGUAUCUAGAUAAAUUUAAGACAAAUUUUUUGGGAUGAAAGGAGUAUUAU
rnacentral:pre_miRNA from 1 species